UUUAAGUAAAUCGACGCAAAAUUUUCUGUUUUUCUAAAAUACUAUGUUUAUAUUGCAAUAUUAUUGAAAAUAUUAUCGUUUUUAACGUUUUAAACAAAUUAUAAUAUAUUUAACAUAGCGGUUAAUAAGAACAUUCGCCGUGGAUCCCAACAUAAACAUCGAGAUGUGCACGGGGGAGGCGUGGCGGAGUGCCGGGGUGGCGCGCUCGCCGUCCCACGAGUCCGUCACCACUGAACUGUCACUGUUCAGUGUCUCCUCGGCUGCAUCGGAUGCACGGGUGCUCAGAAUAUUGGCUAGCAAGGCUGGACAAGGUCCUGAUCCUAAUUUGAGGGUGGCCAGUCCUAAUCCUGAGGGAAAAUUUAAGCGCGGCUCCGGAGCCCUGCAGACGGGAGACGCUUGCCGGGAACUGUUGGCCGGCUGUGCGGCGCUUUGCGCGCAGCUCGGCCUGCGGCGGUCCUUCAGCGCGGGGGACGUGGCCGCGCCCGCCGCUGGCGCGCCUAUGCGCAGGUACUGCACACACACACCGCACACACACCGCACACACACCGCUCACACAGCAUACA
rnacentral:misc_RNA from 1 species